rnacentral:rRNA from 1 species
GUGGUACGCGAGCUGGGUUUAGAACGUCGUGAGACAGUUCGGUCCCUAUCUGCCGUGGGCGCUGGAGAAUUGAGGGGGCUGCUCCUAGUACGAGAGGACCGGAGUGGACGCAUCACUGGUGUUCGGGUUGUCAUGCCAAUGGCACUGCCCGGUAGCUAAAUGCGGAAGAGAUAAGUGCUGAAAGCAUCUAAGCACGAAACUUGCCCCGAGAUGAGUUCUCCCUGAGACUUUAAGUCUCCUGAAGGAACGUUGAAGACGACGACGUUGAUAGGCCGGGUGUGUAAGCGCAGCGAUGCGUUGAGCUAACCGGUACUAAUGAACCGUGAGGCUUAACCUUAC